rnacentral:rRNA from 1 species
AGAGUUUGAUCCUGGCUCAGGAUGAACGCCGGCGGUGUGCCUAAUACAUGCAAGUCGUACGCACUGGCCCAACUGAUUGAUGGUGCUUGCACCUGAUUGACGAUGGAUCACCAGUGAGUGGCGGACGGGUGAGUAACACGUAGGUAACCUGCCCCGGAGCGGGGGAUAACAUUUGGAAACAGAUGCUAAUACCGCAUAACAACAAAAGCCGCAUGGUUUUUGUUUGAAAGAUGGCUUUGGCUACCACUCUGGGAUGGACCUGCGGUGCAUUAGCUAGUUGGUAAGGUAACGGCUUACCAAGGCGAUGAUGCAUAGCCGAGUUGAGAGACUGAUCGGCCACAAUGGAACUGAGACACGGUCCAUACUCCUACGGGAGGCAGCAGUAGGGAAUCUUCCACAAUGGGCGCAAGCCUGAUGGAGCAACACCGCGUGAGUGAAGAAGGGUUUCGGCUCGUAAAGCUCUGUUGUUGGAGAAGAACGUGCGUGAGAGUAACUGUUCACGCAGUGACGGUAUCCAACCAGAAAGUCACGGCUAACUACGUGCCAGCAGCCGCGGUAAUACGUAGGUGGCAAGCGUUAUCCGGAUUUAUUGGGCGUAAAGCGAGCGCAGGCGGUUGCUUAGGUCUGAUGUGAAAGCCUUCGGCUUAACCGAAGAAGUGCAUCGGAAACCGGGCGACUUGAGUGCAGAAGAGGACAGUGGAACUCCAUGUGUAGCGGUGGAAUGCGUAGAUAUAUGGAAGAACACCAGUGGCGAAGGCGGCUGUCUGGUCUGCAACUGACGCUGAGGCUCGAAAGCAUGGGUAGCGAACAGGAUUAGAUACCCUGGUAGUCCAUGCCGUAAACGAUGAGUGCUAGGUGUUGGAGGGUUUCCGCCCUUCAGUGCCGGUGCUAACGCAUUAAGCACUCCGCCUGGGGAGUACGACCGCAAGGCUGAAACUCAAAGGAAUUGACGGGGGCCCGCACAAGCGGUGGAGCAUGUGGUUUAAUUCGAAGCUACGCGAAGAACCUUACCAGGUCUUGACAUCUUGCGCUAACCUUAGAGAUAAGGCGUUCCCUUCGGGGACGCAAUGACAGGUGGUGCAUGGUCGUCGUCAGCUCGUGUCGUGAGAUGUUGGGUUAAGUCCCGCAACGAGCGCAACCCUUGUUACUAGUUGCCAGCAUUGAGUUGGGCACUCUAGUGAGACUGCCGGUGACAAACCGGAGGAAGGUGGGGACGACGUCAGAUCAUCAUGCCCCUUAUGACCUGGGCUACACACGUGCUACAAUGGACGGUACAACGAGUCGCAAACUCGCGAGAGUAAGCUAAUCUCUUAAAGCCGUUCUCAGUUCGGACUGUAGGCUGCAACUCGCCUACACGAAGUCGGAAUCGCUAGUAAUCGCGGAUCAGCAUGCCGCGGUGAAUACGUUCCCGGGCCUUGUACACACCGCCCGUCACACCAUGGGAGUUUGUAACGCCCAAAGUCGGUGGCCUAACCUUUAUGGAGGGAGCCGCCUAAGGCGGGACAGAUGACUGGGGUGAAGUCGUAACAAGGUA